UUGGAAACAUUCUCUCACGCAACUUACUGUGGAUGCCGUUCAGAAGAUUCAGAGAACUUCCAAAGAACAGAUUUUUAUCAACAGCUCUUGCCUUUAAAGCUUCUAUCUUUGCCCCAAUAUUUUUGGGCAUUUGGGGAUUCUUCAGGAUCUAAUCUUCAGAACUAGAAUGGAAGUCCACACUAAAGCUGACACUGAGGACUCUCGUUUCCUCCUUGUGCAACCUCUAUUAUUUUAAUAGAACUAUCCUUCACCUCACCUUACAUUUAUAUAUUUUUGCAUCUUUUUCUGCAUUGACUGUUUAAAUCUCUGCACCCCAUCCAUUCUUAUUCCAAAGCAUUGCAACCUUGUCUAGGUUAAUGGAAAAGUCGAAAUGCAGAAUAGGUUGUAGGGAUAUAAUUGCAAAUUUAAACUGUUCGUACACUAAGAGUCCAAAGAUUUUCAUUCACCUAUGAUCUUUUCCAUGGUGAUCUUCAUGCUUUUAAUCUCGAAGAUUAGCAUCCUGAAUGGCCUUAAAUUUUGGCUGAAGAGCUUUAUUUUAAAUGCCUUCUGUACGUAAAUGCUAUCAUUGUAUAUCACCCCCCUAAAUCAUUGCAAAAUAUUAGUGAUUCGUUAUGCAAACUGAAGUUUAUGCUAACUUUUUUUUACAAAAGUUGAAAAAACUGGAAAUAUUCAGUAGCUUUUUAUCUGCAGAGAGAAUGCCUAUUUCUAAUUAAGUUAGCAUGCUGGAUCCUAGUGAACCUACAGUUGGCCAAAGGGACUUUGGGAUCAUUUGUACUGAGCAGACAAACUGCUGGGCUUACUUCCACAGUAGAUCUGAAUGUCAGAUCAGCCAGUUUCCCACAUGGACACAAAGCUCAUCAAUGCAAUCUGAUGGAACGCCAGCCAGCACAGCAAGAAUGGGAACAACUUACCACGAUGAACAACUCGGGAGAUUCAAAUCGUGGACAAAAUCACAGGUUAAAGUAAUGAUGACAGAAGACGCGUGUGAAAGCAGGAGGAUGAGUGCAAAGAAACCUAAUUUGAGCACAAGGAAGAUUUACCAAAUGGCCAAAAAUGAAACCCAAUCUUGAGAAAUGUAAGAUGUUCCACACUAACCUUAAGAUAAAGAGACAACUAAUCAGUGGAAGAUGAUGUAAUUAGGAAAGAGAACAAUAUUGCCUUUGAUGACAUUCAAUAGCACAUUGAUGAUGAGAAACAAGACUGGCCUGAAUGCAUUUUCCUGAGUGAUCAUUGUACUGUUG